CCAAUCUUGAUUUACAUUUCAUGUGUAUUUUAUCUUUUAGCAAAGGGUGAAGACAAGUCAACCCAACCAGCAGAAGGUGAUGAAAAAACUCCCACUGUUAAAAAGGCCAGAAGAGGAAAGGGUCAAGACAAGUCAACUCCACCAGCGGAGGAUGAUGAAGAGAUUCCUGUCAUUAAAAGGCGUAAAAGAGGUGUGCAAAAUGCUAGGAAGUACAUACAGGAUUAGUGAGUUUCAUUUCAGCACAUUUUGAACUAUACAGAAGAUUUGCUAACACACAUUCGUUUUGGAUUUUCUCGUGUAUACACUAUUACGGGGUGAUCUUUUGCUAGAUAGUACUCGCCAUUUUGGCUUGUUUUACUAGACUAGAUGUUAAUAUUUGCCAUUUUGGCUUGUAUAUACCGCAUGGUGGAUGAAAAUAUUUUGUAUAGGAAGGCCAUUCACAUGCACAUUUAAUUCAUCUGAAGAAUGUAAAGCUCAUUGCUGUUA